UACUCCACCUUUACAUUGUGUUCUCCUAACAAACACCAUGAAAGUAACCAAACUUUAACAUUAAAAAUAACAGAACAACAACUCAAAGUUUCAAAAUAAAAACGUAACUUCCUCCGUCCCAAUUCGCUUUUCCGACUGUGGAAUCAUCUUCGCCAUAGUAACCUGUUUCUAUUCCUCCAAUCAUGUCACCACCACAGACGUUUCCGGCAAAACCGUUGUAUCAACGUUCGAUCUAAACCACCACCAUUUCGUUAGAGACAGGUUUGGUUUCUUUAUUUUGACUCCAACUUUUCUUUCUUUUUUACUGAAUCAUGAAGUGGGAGAGGAAGAGAUUUUAUUUUCUUUUGAUUUUUUUUUAGAGAAGAGAAAGGGAGAUCGGACGUGAGGGAGAGAGAGUUGAGAAGAAGAGUUUUUUUUUUCAUUCAGAAAACAUGUUUUUAUUUUACCAACUAAUACACAUGUAGAGGAAGAGCAUGAGUUAUUUUUUUGACUUUUUUUAAAAAUAAAAUAAAAAUACCUCUGCCAUGUGUCAAGUUAUAAGUGGUGAUACAUAAAUUUCCAAAAUCACUUCCACUCUCCUCUGUUCAGUUUUUCUACCGUCUCAC
rnacentral:lncRNA from 1 species